GAUGAAGAACGCAGUGAAAUGCGAUAAGUAAUGUGAAUUGCAGAAUUCAGUGAAUCAUCGAAUCUUUGAACGCACCUUGCGCCCUUUGGCCAUUCCGAAGGGCAUGCCUGUUUGAGUAUCAUGAACACCUCAACUCUUCAUGGUUUUCCGUGAUGAGCUUGGACUUUGGGGGUCUUGCUGGCCUAUGGUCAGCUCCUCUAAAAUAAAUCAGCUUGCCAGUGUUUGGUGGGUAUCACAGGUGUGAUAACUAUCUACGCUUGUGGUUUUCCGCCAGGUAACCUCCAGCGAUGGAGGUUCGCUGGAGCUCACAAACGUCUCUCCUCAGCGAAGACAGCUCUUGAACGUUUGAUCUCAAAUCAGGUAGGACUACCCGCUGAACUUAAGCAUAUCAAUAAGCGGAGGA
rnacentral:misc_RNA from 1 species